rnacentral:SRP_RNA from 1 species
UAGUUCAGUCUAGUGGCUUGAGUGAAGAUCAACUGGAUCAGGCAGCGGAGCUGUGGUCCGCGCGUGAGGCUGGCUCCGCAGCGCAACUCGACCCUGCAUCUC